rnacentral:rRNA from 1 species
CAGUAGCCGCGGUAAUACAGAGGGUGCAAGCGUUAAUCGGAAUUACUGGGCGUAAAGCGCGCGUAGGUGGUUUGUUAAGUUGGAUGUGAAAUCCCCGGGCUCAACCUGGGAACUGCAUUCAAAACUGACUGACUAGAGUAUGGUAGAGGGUGGUGGAAUUUCCUGUGUAGCGGUGAAAUGCGUAGAUAUAGGAAGGAACACCAGUGGCGAAGGCGACCACCUGGACUAAUACUGACACUGAGGUGCGAAAGCGUGGGGAGCAAACAGGAUUAGAUACCCCAGUAGUCCCUGUCUCUUAUAA